GAUGAACGCUGGCGGCGUGCUUAACACAUGCAAGUCGAACGGUGAACGAGGGAGCUUGCUCCCUCCGGAUCAGUGGCGAACGGGUGAGUAACACGUGAGCAAUCUGCCCUGGACUCUGGGAUAAGCGUUGGAAACGACGUCUAAUACCGGAUACGAGGCGUGGGGGCAUCCCCAACGCCUGGAAAAAACUUCGGUCCAGGAUGAGCUCGCGGCCUAUCAGCUUGUUGGUGAGGUAACGGCGCACCAAGGCGACGACGGGUAGCCGGCCUGCGAGGGUGACCGGCCACACUGGGACUGAGACACGGCCCAGACUCCUACGGGAGGCAGCAGUGGGGAAUAUUGCACAAUGGGCGCAAGCCUGAUGCAGCAACGCCGCGUGAGGGACGACGGCCUUCGGGUUGUAAACCUCUUUUAGCAGGGAAGAAGCGAAAGUGACGGUACCUGCAGAAAAAGCACCGGCUAACUACGUGCCAGCAGCCGCAGUAACAC
rnacentral:rRNA from 1 species